rnacentral:rRNA from 1 species
ACAAGCGGAGGAGCAUGUGGUUAAUUCGAUGAUACGCGAGGAACCUUACCUGGGCUCGAACGUAAGAUGACUGUAAGGUGAAAGCUUACAUCUCUUCGGAGCAUUUUACGAGGUGCUGCAUGGUUGUCGUCAGCUCGUGCCGUGAGGUGUCGGGUUAAGUCCCAUAACGAGCGCAACCCCUACCUUUAGUUGCCAUCAGGUUUAAGCUGGGGAACUCUAAAGGAACUGCCUACGCAAGUAGUGAGGAAGGCGGGGAUGACGUCAAAUCAGCACGGCCCUUACGUCCAGGGCUACACACGUGCUACAAUGGCCGAUACAGAGGGCAGCUACCUGGUGGACAGGAUGCAAAUCUCCAAAGUCGGUCUCAGUUCGGAUCGGAGUCUGCAACCCGACUCCGUGAAGUUGGAUUCGCUAGUAAUCGCGCAUCAGCCAUGGCGCGGUGAAUACGUUCCCGGGCCUU